rnacentral:rRNA from 1 species
GAUGAACGCUGACAGAAUGCUUAACACAUGCAAGUCUUUGGCGAAGCUGUGCUUGCACAGCCUAGCCAAGGCGGACGGGUGAGUAACGCGUAAGGAACUUGCCCUGCAGUCAGGGAUAACAGACGGAAACGACUGAUAAGACCUGGUAAAGUCAGGCGGACUCAUGUCCAGCCUGAUGAAAAGAGAUGCUGCAGGAGAGCCUUGCGUCCUAUUAGCUUGUUGGUGGGGUAACGGCCCACCAAGGCGAUGAUAGGUAGCCGGCCUGAGAGGGUGGACGGCCACAAGGGGACUGAGAUACGGCCCUUACUCCUACGGGAGGCAGCAGUGGGGAAUAUUGGACAAUGGGGGCAACCCCGAUCCAGCAAUUCUGUGUGCACGAUGAAGGUUUUCGGAUUGUAAAGUGCUUUCAGCAGGGAAGAAAAAAAUGACGGUACCUGCAGAAGAAGCGACGGCUAAAUACGUG